AUUGAACGCUGGCGGUAGGCCUAACACAUGCAAGUCGAACGCGAAAGUCCUUCGGGAUGAGUAGAGUGGCGGACGGGUGAGUAACGCGUAGGAAUCUAUCCUGUAGUGGGGGAUAACGUUUCGAAAGGAACGCUAAUACCGCAUACGCCCCACGGGGGAAAGCGGGGGAUCUUCGGACCUCGUGCUAUAGGAGGAGCCUGCGUCGGAUUAGCUAGUUGGUGAGGUAAAGGCUCACCAAGGGCGACGAUCCGUAGCUGGUCUGAGAGGAUGAUCAGCCACACCGGAACUGAGACACGGUCCGGACUCCUACGGGAGGCAGCAGUGGGGAAUAUUGCGCAAUGGGCGAAAGCCUGACGCAGCCAUACCGCGUGUGUGAAGAAGGCCUUCGGGUUGUAAAGCACUUUUUGAGAGGAUGAGGAAGGACGGUACUCUCAGAAUAAGUCUCGGCUAACUACGUGCCAGCAGCCGCGGUAAGCAUACUCGUA
rnacentral:rRNA from 1 species